UAAAAAAUGUUGCAUUUGUUUUGAUUAUUACAUUUUUGAUGUUGUUCAUCUUUGCUUGUAUUGGAGUGCAGCUUUUUCAGGGGAGAUUUUAUUAUUGCAGUGAUGAAAGCAGAAGAACAAUAAGUGAAUGCAAAGGUCAAUAUUAUAUAUUUGAAUCAAAA
rnacentral:lncRNA from 1 species